GCGUGGGUCGGCCCGCUGCGUGGAUCCGGCGGGCCGGGGAUGCCGCUGCCCCCAUCCCCGCGGGUGGCGGAACGGUCCGGGGGGCGGAGCCCGUCUCCCGGACCGCG
rfam:Actinobacteria bacterium OV450 ctg44, whole genome shotgun sequence.